UACGUAGGGUGCGAGCGUUACUCGGAAUUACUGGGCGUAAAGCGUGCGCAGGCGGUUCGUUAAGUCAGCUGUGAAAGCCCCGAGCUUAACUUCGGAAUUGCGGUUGAAACUGGCGGACUAGAAUCUGGCAGAGGGGGGUGGAAUUCCACGUGUAGCAGUGAAAUGCGUAGAGAUGUGGAGGAACACCGAUGGCGAAGGCAGCCCCCUGGGCUGAGAUUGACGCUCAGGCACGAAAGCGUGGGGAGCAAACAGG
rnacentral:rRNA from 1 species